UUUUGUCACAACUUCACAACAUCAUUCAUGCUUCGGAGAGUAUGACUAGGCUAUUCAAAUUGAAACAAUUUGACAAGUGUGCAGAAGAAUAUUUGAUAGAGUUCAUUGAAUACUAUGAUUGUCAAGAGCCUCAACAGCAAACAAUUGCGAGAUUUCUUACAAGUUUGAGGGAUGAUGUUGCAAGAAUAGUUGAAUUGCAAUAGUUUGAUUCUUU
rnacentral:misc_RNA from 1 species